rnacentral:rRNA from 1 species
CCUACGGGAGGCAGCAGUGAGGAAUAUUGCGCAAUGGGGGAAACCCUGACGCAGCGACGCCGCGUGAGUGAGGAAGGCCUUCGGGUCGUAAAGCUCUGUCAAGAGGAAAGAAGUGUACAAUGGCUAAUACCUGUUGUAUUUGACGGUACCUCUAAAGGAAGCACCGGCUAACUCCGUGCCAGCAGCCGCGGUAAUACGGAGGGUGCAAGCGUUGUUCGGAAUCACUGGGCGUAAAGGGCGCGUAGGCGGCUUGGUAAGUCAGAUGUGAAAUCCCUCGGCUCAACCGAGGAACUGCGUUUGAAACUACCGUGCUCGAGUAAGACAGAGGUAAGCGGAACUUCGGGUGGAGCGGUGAAAUGCGUUGAUAUCCGAAGGAACACCGGUGGCGAAAGCGGCUUACUGGGUCUUUACUGACGCUGAUGCACGAAAGCUAGGGGAGCAAACGGGAUUAGAUACCCUUGU